CCAAUAGCGUAUAUUAAAGUUGUUGCAGUUAAAAAGCUCGUAGUUGAAUUUCGGGAUCGAAUUGUUGGUCGUGCUUCGGUACGCACUGGCAUUAUCGGUUCCUACCUUCUGAAGAACCGCGAUGUCAUUAAUUUGGUGUCGUGGGGAAUCAGGACUGUUACUUUGAAAAAAUUAGAGUGUUUAAAGCAGGCUUACGCUUGAAUACAUUAGCAUGGAAUAAUGAAAUAGGACGUUUGAUUCUAUUUUGUUGGUUUCUAGGAUCGACGUAAUGAUUAAUAGGGAUAGUUGGGGGCAUUAGUAUUCAAUUGUCAGAGGUGAAAUUCUUGGAUUUAUUGAAGACUAACUACUGCGAAAGCAUUUGCCAAGGAUGUUUUCAUUAAUCAAGAACGAAAGUUAGGGGAUCGAAGACGAUCAGAUACCGUCGUAGUCUUAACCAUAAACUAUGCCGACUAGGGAUCGGAUGAUGUUAAUUUUAUAAUGACUCAUUCGGCGCCUUACG
rnacentral:ncRNA from 2 species